GAACAUACAAUAACAUAUUCUAUGAUGAAAGUUAUCCUGCAUUAUUUAUUAUUUAGAUCUAACCUCAUUCCUCAAAUGAUCAAAACAUCGAAAUUCUAAAUAUUAAGUUGCUCAUUGCUCAAAAUCAUCUCUUUUUUACCUUUGGUUAUAAUGUUUUAUGUGGGCAAGAAAGAAAUUCAUUAAAGUAUUAUGAAUUUUAUUGCAAAAAUAUAAAAAACUGAAAAUGUGGAAUAGAAUUUAGAAACAACAGUUUUCCUAAUCGUUUUCCAAGAAGCCUGUUUCUAUUUUGAACUAAAGUGGCACCAGCUUUUGAAAAAAGCCUUUCAGAUGGAACCGAGGUUGCCACCAAACACAUGUAUUUGAUUCCAACCUUAUACAGCUUAGGAAAUACAUUUUUAGUAUCC